AUUGAACGCUGGCGGCAUGCUUUACACAUGCAAGUCGAACGGUAACAGGCCGCAAGGUGCUGACGAGUGGCGCACGGGUGAGUAAUGCAUCGGAACGUGCCCAGUCGUGGGGGAUAACUACUCGAAAGAGUAGCUAAUACCGCAUACGAUCUAUGGAUGAAAGCGGGGGACCGUAAGGCCUCGCGCGAUUGGAGCGGCCGAUGUCAGAUUAGGUAGUUGGUGGGGUAAAGGCUCACCAAGUCAACGAUCUGUAGCUGGUCUGAGAGGACGACCAGCCACACUGGGACUGAGACACGGCCCAGACUCCUACGGGAGGCAGCAGUGGGGAAUUUUGGACAAAGGGCGCAAGCCUGAUCCAGCAAUGCCGCGUGCAGGAAGAAGGCCUUCGGGUUGUAAACUGCUUUUGUACGGAACGAAACGGCUCUGGUUAAUACCCGGGGCUAAUGACGGUACCGUAAGAAUAAGCACCGGCUAACUACGUG
rnacentral:rRNA from 1 species